UUUCAAACCUAUCGCUGUAUGUUAUAUUUGACUGUGAAAACAUUUGAAUUUUACCGACAAUAGUUUCACAAGGCUGAGCAGAAAAACGAUUCGUGACGAGUUUCUUGCAUUGCAAAAUUCUAUGAGAAUAUGGACAGAUUUUUAACUUAUCAGGUUUCAUCCCAACCACAGGCGCCUCAAAAAUUCGAACCAUAGACCAGGUGCGAGAGUAGCGGAUAGGGGCAUGGUCGGUAUGGCAAACAGCCCGCCAGACUUUUUUCAGUUCAAACGUACCACGCUGUAGAUCGAGAACGGGCUCACGAUCGGAACGUCACACUAUCACGUGAGACUCUAUAUCUUUAAUAUGAUUUUCUUCGUGCACUUUUUUUUAGUGCCAAGCGAAUAACCUCGUACAAGUGAUUUCAAGAAAAAUUUGGCUAAUUUACUGUCCAAAAUACUUCAUAGAUUCCCGUUCUGGAGUCUAUUUAGAUGCUACUACGGAAAC